rnacentral:rRNA from 1 species
UACCAGCACCCCGAGUGGUCGGGACGUUUUAUUGGGCCUAAAGCAUCCGUAGCCGGUUCUACAAGUCUUCCGUUAAAUCCAACUGCUUAACAGGUGGGCUGCGGAAGAUACUAUAGAGCUAGGAGGCGGGAGAGGCAAGCGGUACUCGAUGGGUAGGGGUAAAAUCCGUUGAUCCAUUGAAGACCACCAGUGGCGAAGGCGGCUUGCCAGAACGCGCUCGACGGUGAGGGAUGAAAGCUGGGGGAGCA